AACGGGUGAGUACACGUAGGUGAUCUACCGUAAAGUUGGGGAUAGCGUGUGGAAACACAGGCUAAUACCGGAUAAUUCUUAUUGUUUACGGACGAUAAGGGAAAGGGGCCACGGCCCUGCUUUUCGAAGAGCCUGCGUUCCAUUAGUUAGUUGGCAGGGUAACGGCCUACCAAGGCGACGAUGGAUAGCCGGCCUGAGAGGGUGACCGGCCACACUGGGACUGAGACACGGGCCAGACGUCCUACGGGAGGCAGCAGCUAAGAAUCUUCCGCAAUGGGCGAAAGCCUGACGGAGCGACGCCGCGUGGACGAAGAAGGCCGGAAGGUUGUAAAGUCCUUUUCUCGAUGAAGAAUAAGGCAGCGAGGGAAUGCGCUGUCGAUGACAUUAGUUGAGGAAUAAGCCCCGGCUAAUUACGUGCCAGCAGCCGCGGUAACACGUAAGGGGCGAGCGUUGUUCGGAAUUAUUGGGCGUAAAGGGCGCGUAGGCGGCUUGGCAAGCCUGGUGUGAAAGGCCACAGCUUAACUGUGGGAGUGCGCUGGGAACUGACUAGCUAAAGUAUCGGAGGGGAAGCUGGAAGGCCUGUGUUAGGGUGAUAUGCGGUAGAUAUCAGGAAGUAUAUCUGUGGCGAAGCCGGGCUUCUGGGCCUAGAAACUGACGCUGAGGCGCGAAAGCGUGGGGAGCGAACAGUAGUAGAUACCCUGGUAGUCCACGCUGUAAACGAUGUGCAGUAGGUGUUGGCUGUGAUAACGGUCUAGUGCCGAAGCAUACGCGAUAAGUGCACCGCCUGGGGAGUUAUGCUCGCAAGGGUGAAACGCAAAGGAAUUGACGGGGGCCCGCACAAGCGGUGGUAGCUAUGUGGUUUAAUUCGAUGAUACGCGAGGAACCGUACCAGGGUUUGUACUAUAUGGCGGACUGCGGCAGAGAUGUCGCUUCCCUUCGGGGCCGUCAUACAGGUGCUGCAUGGCUGUCGUCUAGCUCGUGCUGUGAGGUGUUGGGUUUAAGUCCCGCAACGAGCGCUACCCCUGCUGUCUGUUACCAGCACGUAAUGGUGGGGUACUCAGGCGGUACUGCCGGUGACAAACCGGAGGAAGGUGGGGAC
rnacentral:rRNA from 1 species